UCAAUUCAGCAGCACACAUAUUAAAAUUGGAAAAUUGGAAUGAUACAGAGAACAUUAGCAUAACCCCUGAACAAGGAUAACACACAAAUUCAUGAAGAAUUGGAUAUUAUU